GUGGUCCCAGGAGUUCCUUGCAAGCACUUCACAUAGAGCUUCAAUUACUCUCGUGCAAUACUAGGAGCUUGAAAAAGCUAAUGUGAAGUGUUUGGGGGAACUCUUGGUGCCAA
rnacentral:pre_miRNA from 1 species